UAAAAAUCGUUAAAACUUUCAACAACGGAUCUCUUGGUUCCGGCAUCGAUGAAGAACGCAGCGAAAUGCGAUACGUAAUGUGAAUUGCAGAAUUCAGUGAAUCAUCGAGUCUUUGAACGCACAUUGCGCCCCCUGGUAUUCCGGGGGGCAUGCCUGUCCGAGCGUCAUU
rnacentral:rRNA from 1 species